rnacentral:rRNA from 1 species
UACGAAGGGGGCUAGCGUUGUUCGGAUUUACUGGGCGUAAAGCGCACGUAGGCGGAUCGAUCAGUCAGGGGUGAAAUCCCAGGGCUCAACCCUGGAACUGCCUUUGAUACUGUCGAUCUGGAGUAUGGAAGAGGUGAGUGGAAUUCCGAGUGUAGAGGUGAAAUUCGUAGAUAUUCGCAAGAACACCAGUGGCGAAGGCGGCUCACUGGCCCGAUACUGACGCUGAGGCACGAAAGCGUGGGGAGCAAACAGG